rnacentral:lncRNA from 1 species
CCUGCAGGGCUUGAGCGCAAGGAGACAGCCUCAGGGCCCUUGCACAGAACAGGCGGCAGGGUGUGCCCGUGGGGCAGAUGGGGACUUGGGGACAAUGGUGGUGUGUGAGUCCAUACCUGGCUCCAGGAUUCAGGAGGCCCAUUUGCAUAUCCCAGGUGGGAACCUGUCUGGCCCCGCCUGACCCUGCUGGCCGGUGCAGGCCCCUUCAGUGAGGCCAAUUCUCCAAGGCUGCGGUCUUCUCCCAGGGUCAUGGGUGAAGGGGUUUGGAGGCUCCCUGCGUGGGUACUGGCCUGCUGGGGUACACACAAUGCUGCCAUAGCCAGUCUGCCCCUACACCCAGCCCGGGGCCACAUCUCAGGUCUCUCAGUCCUGAGGAGCCCGGUGCCCCACCCCUCACAUCCUCUCUCCCUGAGUCAGGGCCUGGGUCUCGUGAGCUGAGUGACUGAUACUUGGUGUCCUGGAUGAGGGCGUGGUGGAGAGGGGCCACAGCGGGUGUUUCCUGACCCUCUUCCAGGAAGGUGCUGCUGCCAGCCACCUGGUCUGCUUCCCAGAAAUUCUGUCUUGCAGGCUGUUGGGAGGAUCCCAGUACUUU